rnacentral:lncRNA from 1 species
CCUGCACCUGUAACUCUUAUGCAAGCCCAAAUCCCAUGUCACAACAAACACUUGAUCAUAAUAAUAACAAAAGGUUUCCGAAAACAACAAAACUAAAAGGGCCUAGACGUUUACAGAAGUACAUGGAGAUCAGGUAAAUAUCUAAAUCAAUCCAUUCCAUAAGAUCUAUGUAUAGAAAUCAUGGAACAUUAUGUCUCGAAGCCCUGCUUCGUACCUGGCAUCCGCAAGCUGCUCUUCCUUCGGCUGUCAAUCGAGUUUUCGAAAUACGAUGGAUUUCGACCGGGAUUUCCGUGUUAGAGGUGAUUGAGAACAAUGUAUUGAUACACGAGGUAGGCAUAUCGCAAUCAAGCAUCACGGUGUACAUCGAUUACACGAGGUUUGAGUGUUUGUUUACAUUUGUGUGCCAAAAUGGCGCCCUCGGCCAUACAGGGAAUUAUGGGUAGACUUGCUUGUCCCGGAAUAACACGAGUUGGUCACGAAUGACGAGCGGUCAUUUCAGAAGCAGUUACGGAAAGAGACGAGGUUUGCCGAUUACAGUUCAUACAGGCCAUAUUGGGAGCAGCGGGGAUUUCGACAGUGUGUAUUAGGAAGUAUACCUACGUCGUGUAUGGAAUAUGUGUUUGCCUACCAUGCCUAGAUAAGACAGUGUGACAAGGGAAAUACCAGCGGACGUAAUAUUCCUACAGCAGAAAUGUUUCACAACCUCGUCAAAAUUGGCGAUUGCAGCUGAUGUCAUGCAGGGAGCUGAAGACGUGACAUAUUCAGACAGAGACCAUAUUACAUAUAGACUGUUACAUGGUCUCUGAUUCAGGUGUCAAGAAUCAAGAACAAAUUAAAUGACAGAAGUUUUGCAACACUGAACAUAUUGAAGUGGAAGAUAUGGAUAUUUUCACUUGAACUUGUUGAAGAAUACCAUGGUGCCAACUUUAUCAUGUUGGGAAUUUUUGUGAUGGGGUGGCCUAGUGGUUGAAGUGCUGAAGACCAAGAAUGUCCGGAUGAAUAAAAGAGACAGUCAUCUGUGCAGCAUCAAUGCAAAGAAAGACCAUAGAAGAGAAGCAAUGGGGAACAAGAGAAGAGAAACAGUACCUGGAUUUCACAAUCUGACACCAGCUACAUUUCAGAAGAUCUUGCUCACACAAAUCAGACAAGGGACUCGCCUGGUGAUGAACAAUCCUCCCGAUAUCAACCAACAGAUUCACCUCAGAAAGUGAUGAUUCUGAAUGAAUAAUGCCACAUCAGUGUGACUGUAGGUGGUUAUAUUAUGACACUAAUCAAGUCUGAAUGAAUUUAUGCCAAAGCACUGUGACUAUGUCCAGGUUGUGUACACCGACGCUAACUAUACAAAUCUGAAUGACUUUUGUGGUUUACUGCAGAAACAUAAUUGACUUUAGAUAUUCUUCUUCCAUGAAAUUCUUCUGAGAUUUGACUAAUUUGUUUAUUUAGAAAAUGACAUUGAAGUGUCUGUUCUGUAAGGCCUUGCAAACACCACUGUUUACUUUAUGCUUGUUCCUCUUCUUGCUUGAUCAAAUUUCAAUUUGUGAUAUGUACCAAAGAAAUGCCAUAAAAUCAAUGAACAAGAUUUUUUUUCUCCCAAAAACAUUAUUUGUUUUGCUUCAUUAGCAUAAAGAUAUAUAAUACUGAUCAGCCAUAACAUAGGUGCUGAACAAAUAUAAAAUAUACUUAUGCCCUGAAUGUAUAUAUACUAUAAAUACAGCUCACUUAACAAAAGUUGUAGUUCCCCAUUAGUAGACAAAAGACAUUGAUAUUUUUUUCUGUACAUUAUUUAGGUGUUUUCUAUGGAUGCCAUUAGUCUUAUGCACCAAUUUGGGACAAUUGUAUUCUGUUUCAUGUUCCCAUGAAACUACACUGUCCAGAUAUAACAAGUACUGAUACCGUUCUAAACUAAUCUUUUAAUCUCACCAGGGCGAAAUGCCAAAGCACAUAGCCAAUGACUUUCCUUCUUUGUUUUUAGUGAGAAUGCUGUUUUGCCACUUUUAGCAAUAUUGCAACAAUAUCAUGGUGGGGGACACCAGCAAUAAGCUUCACACAUUGGACCCAUGUCUCGAAACAAACUUGUGAACAAUGCAUGCCCACAGAUCUCAGUUUUAGGAGGAUAUUUACAACUAAAAUAACACAGAAUAUUACAACAGCUAUCUGAUAUGCACAGGCUAACAUUAAUAAGUAGAAACAAGACAUGAAGAAAAUUUGCAUCCGGAAACCUUCCAGAUACCUUCAGUAACCUUCAAACUUCUUGGUAUUUUCAAGAUAAUUUUUUUAUGUGUUUCACACUUAACUGAACAAAAUGCACAACCCAAAUUUUGACAUUUUUUUUGGAAGGUUUCCGGAAGGUAUCCGGGUCGGAUCCAAAAUGGGUAGGUAUCUGGAAGGUUUCCGGAAGACGGAAGACGGAAACCUACACUUUUUUUGCUGUGACUCCCUUGCCUCGGGAAGAUGAGCGCUAUUGAUGGAGGUCACUUCUAAAUAUAACCACUCGCAGUCACCUGACUGUCAGGUAUUACCUGUAUUGUAACCACGUGAUCAAAAUGAUUAUCUUUUUCAAAUAGUUUCUGUGAAUGUAAAGAAAGUCCUUCCUUCAUUGGAUUAUGAAUUAUUGUUAGUCUUUGUGGUUUUGUGGUACAUUUGCUUGACCCAGCAACAUACCGGUAUCUCCCUUCGUGCGUAGCUGGAGAAUGUGAAAAUGUUCAUCACAAUCUGCUUUAAACCUUCUAACAAGGGCACGUUGAUGCAACAAUACUCACUGUAUCAACUAUGAACCAGAGAUAGCGCAUUGUGUCUGCGGAUGCAGAGCUAGAAAUUCGUCUCCACGAUAUAACAGUGUAUACUUGUAUUUCAACGAUCUUAAGUUUGAUAGAAAGAUUCCAAUGAUUUCCCAUUCUCCACAUGCGCGCUGCGAAUAACAGAACAACUUUUCAGAAAAAUCGCAAAAGACCCGGGGUAAAAUACCCUUAUUACAGUUUAGUUGUUUGUUAGUCUUGAUAAUAUGACUAUAGGAAAUGGAAAUGAGAUAUUGAAUAUGUAGGUAGUGUUUACAUUUUGUGGCUAAGAAAAUGAUGUCAUAUAAUAAUUAAUUAAUUGUGUGCUUUCAUAAUGUAUUCAAAAUUAAUUAAGUUCUCAUUAGAAGUACUUUGAAGUACUUAAGGUUUCCAGCUAUCGUCUUCAUUGGAAUCUAAUUGUAAUUAGUGUAAUUAUAGACUUGAGAUUUUAAACAUUUUUGUCAUGAUAAUGAAAUAUCAUUCUCACCCUAAACAUUACCAGGCCCACCCCAAUGUUUGUCAUUCCCAAUGAACUUUCAACAAUUAAAAAACGUGUGAAAAUUA